UAUUUUAUCAGAUUGUCAUCAUGUAAUGUGAAAAAGUUAAACUUUACAUGUCUUACACAUUUUUUAGGCAGCUGCAUAUUGUGAUAAGAGGGAAAAUGUCAGUGCAACAAGUUUUUGAAAUGUCUAAUUUGGUGUGAUUUCAGCGAAGAGGACAUGUAUCGUGACGCGGAUGAAAUAGAAAAGGAGAAAGAAUUACUUAUACAUGAAAGAGGGUCAUCAGAACCCAGAUUAAGUGUCGCUCCUGAAAUGGACAUCAUGGACUACUGCAAAAAAGAGUGGAGGGGAAAUACGCAAAAAGCAACAUGUAUGAAAAAGGGCUACGAGGAGGUGUCUCAGAAAUUCACCUCCAUAAGGCGAGUCCGUGGAGAUAAUUACUGUGCGCUGAGGGCCACGCUGUUCCAGGCCAUGAGCCAGCCGGCGGAGCUGCCCUCCUGGCUGCAGGACCCGGAGCUCACGCUGUUACCAGAAAAACUCAUGAGUAAAUACAGCUGGAUCAAGCAGUGGAAACUUGGACUGAAAUUUGAGGGGAAGAGCGAGAACCUGGUUGAUAAAAUUAAGGAGUCCCUCACAUUACUAAGGAAGAAGUGGGCAGGCUUGGCUGAGCUGAGAACUGCUGAAGCAAGACAGAUAGCUUGCGAUGAACUGUUCACGAAUGAAGAAGACGAGUAUUGCCUCUAUGAAGCUGUCAAAUUUCUAAUGCUAAACAGAGCCAUUGAACUGUACGAUGACAAAGAGAAGGGAAAGGAAGUUCCAUUUUUCUCAGUGCUUCUCUUUGCUCGGGAUACAUCCAGUGACCCUGGACAGCUGCUGAGGAACCAUCUAAACCAGGUGGGACACACUGGUGGCCUUGAACAGGUUGAAAUGUUCCUUCUCGCCUACGCGGUGCGCCACACCAUCCAGGUGUACCGGCUCUCCAAGUACGGCACUGAGGAGUUCCUCACCAUCUACCCCACCGACCCACCCAGGGACUGGCCAGUGGUGACCCUGAUCGCCGAGGAUGAUCGGCACUACAACAUCCCCGUCCGAGUGUGUGAGGAGACGAGUCUGUGAGACACACUCAGACGGCCCGGCGAUGCGGCCAAGGCUGGAGGCUGAAGGUUCCACACAGGGGAGGGUCCUUCUGGCCUGUCCUUUCCACAGCUGCUCACUGUCCCUUGCCGGCUGCCACCUGAACCAGAUGGGUCACUUCUAACAGCUCUCCUAAGGGUGACAGUGAGUUCCUGCGAAGUCACCCAUCCCCAACGGAAUGACAGCAUUUCAUCAGGACUGACUCUCAGAGCCAGGGAGGAUCUCUUGGAGGCCCUGAAAUUCUGAAGCUUUAGGACUAAAAUGUUUUAAAUACCAAACAUCUUCACCUUAAAUACUGCUGUGGUCCCCACCCCCUGAUGGCAAGGUGCGACAGGCAUCCAGCUGUGGGUCUCUAAAGACCACACACACAGUCACCUGCUCCACUCUCCGGCAGCCUCCACCCCAACCCCUCCCCGAAGACACUCAUCCCAGGAAGCUGGGGACCCAGACGAAGGACAGCCUCACCGGAUGGAAUCGUGACCGUCGAGGAGGAGAUGGCCACUCACGUGGCAGAGACUGACCACGUCCUUGUUGCGUUCACAACAACCAGGGAAAUUUAAAAAAAACAACCAAUAAAAGAAAACAGAUUUCAAAGUUUGUGGGGGUACGAUCUAAUAACACCAGGGAUGCUGCAAGGAGGCUGGAAAGCUCUCAAAAGAGAAACUCCCAGCCACUCCACUCCACCCCAACCAGAAAGGAGAACAGAAGGCACCUGAAGGUGUCGCAGUGGUCCCCCAAGCUGCUCUCGGGGGAGGGAACGUGCCAGGUGGGGAGGGGCUACCUGUCACCUCCCUGCCUUCGUUUGCCUGCUCACAGGCUGUCUCUUCCUGAGUCCCAGGGAGGUAAGCCCAGAUGAGGUCUAAGAACGACUACCUUCAAGGGCUCGCCAUCUCGUGGAUGAUUAAGGUCAGGAAGGAGAGAGUCAGACACGCUGACCUUGUACAAGAGAUCAAGAGAAAGGGCUUCCAAGAAAUAUGCUCAAGGGCAAAAGAGAAAAAGGAAAGAACCACCAGGGGCUGAGGGUACACCCCAAGCCCCUCCUUUGAGUCUGCCUUUUCCACGAAGGAGCAUCAUCUUAAUACUCGGCCAGGUGGGCAAACACGGUUAAGAGGGAUUCGAAGAUUAGAACUGAUGAGAGGGAGCAAAGAGUUUUGUCUGUGCAAGGCUCGGAUCACGCACAUCACCUGCAGCGAAAACACUUGUAGACCGAACUGAAAAAGCAGAGACCUGGGAAGACGCCAGGAGCCUCGGGGUUGGCAAAUCCCCUGCAGACAGAUUCUAGAAGGGGCCGGACCCUGACUGUCAGGAGAAUGUGGCCAUGUGGGUCUGUCUGGCUCUUGUGUUUCACCUCAUAACAGGACCACGUGGUUAACUGAAAAAGCCCACCACGUAGCCACAGGCUGCAUUAAUGAACGUUAUGAAGUCAAAACUGGACAAUUCUAGUCCGAUGGCCAGGAUCAGACCUGAUUUGGAGUUUGUGCCCCAUGUUCCCAGGGAGCACUGACAAAUUUCAAGGAGCGGAACCAAAACACCACAGGGUCUGGAAGCCAGGCUGUUUAAAAGGUGGAAAACUGGGUGUGGCUAUUUGAAGGGCAGCCACGUGGAAGCAGGGUUAGACGGACUCUGCAGCAGGAGCAUGGAUGGGGGCGACCGCCUGCCCCAUCAUUUGUCUAAGGGACGUUACAGUCCAUCUCAACAGCCUCUUCCCCGGGUCCUAGGUAGUCGUGUCUUAAUGAUUUCUGUAGUUUUCAUUCUACAGUGACCUACUGAUUCCUGAAACACUAGUUAUUAGUUUGGAUUAUAAUAACAUGCUUUAUACCUGUAUUCAUUCAAAAAGCAAUUACUGGGCACCUGAACAGAGCCAGACACUGUGCGGAUGCUGGGCGUGCAAUGGGGAACACGGCAGAGGCGAUGCCAGCCCUCUCAGAGCCCCUGUCACUACAGAGCGCUAAAUGUCAUGAUGGGGGACUCAAGGCAUGAUGAGACCCGCAGGGCCCGCAGUGGGUGGGAAGCAAACUGAUGACGUCCAAGUUGGUGUCUGAAAGCAAGCUGGAGUCACGUAUGCCGGACGAGGGGGCAGGAGAGGGUUUCAGGCAGAAGGGACACUGGGGGCAGAGGCCUGGGCGAGAGAACACACAGAUGGUCCCUCCGCUCCGGGUGCUCUGUGUGGAUGGAAUGGAGAGCAGGAGGAGGGUUGAGAUGGUCCUCGUACUGCCGUUUAGGGUCUGGGUUUACAAUGGCACCGGAGAGUCAGUGGAGGGCCUCUGGGGACUGGUUUGGAGGAGAAGUGUGUGGAGCCCCACUGGGGGCCAUGGAGCAAGUCGAAGGGGAGCUGUAGGAGCACAAAGAGGGAUAUGACGGCGGGGAAUGGAGAAGAGGGGGGUCCGAGGGGCAUUUAGGAUGAGGCUAAGACAGGGCUCUGUGCCUGGUGGGGGGACACCAGGCUGAGGAAGAGGGCCGAGCUGAGGAUGAGGCCAGCCUCUGGCAUCACCAGCAGAAGUCCACGCUAGUCAUCAAAAUAGGGGGGAGAGCAGAAAGAGCUUGGAGUGCAGGCCAUGAGCCCCUUUGGGAUGGGCUGAGCUGUCUGUGCCUGCAGGAAAUCAAAGCGCAUCUCUGUGAGGGAGGCAGUUAGAUGUCAGGGCCUGAAGCUCAGGAGAGAGAGCAGAGUCGAAGAUACUGACUCGGGAAGGAGUUAACACGGCAACUGAAGCCACGACCUGCAGAGAGAGGGCCGAGGAGGGAGACGGGCAGGGGGUUCGGACAGAGUUCUGAUGCUCACUUGGAGCGAGGAAGAAGGAUGUUCCACCAAGAGCCUGUGAAGGAAUACUCAGAAAGGAAGACGGAAAAGCAGUGUUGCAGAAGCCACGGGAAAUAAGCAAAGGAUGCAGGCGAUGGGAGGAGCUCUGACUACCUGUAGAAGAUGCCACAAUGGCCAGCUGAGGGGCCAUGCUCACCCUGGUGCCCAGAACAAGGAUUUAUUACUUUAUAUAGUAACAGAGGAGAUUAAAUGAAGGACGGUGGGCUAAGAUGAUCUGGGAAUGUCUCGGUAGACCCUAAAUACCAUCACAGGGGUCCUGAUAAGAGAAGAGAGAGGCAUGCAGAGGAGGAGGCCCUGUGAAGACAGACUGGGGUGAUUCGGCCAAGGAAGGCCCGCAGCCACCAGGAGCUGGACAAGGCAAGGAACAGACUCUUUCCUAAAGCCCCGCCAACACCUUGAUUUCAGUCCAGUGAACUGGUUUCGACUUCUGGCCUCUGGAACUAGGAGAGAACACAUUUCUGUUGUUUCAAGCCAUCAGGUGACAGCAAGCCUUCCUCCCCGCAUCCCCGCUGCCACACACGGGCCACCACAACCACCACCACCACCACCAGGCAGCCUCCAUUCGCUGAAGCUGAGGGAGGCCAGGGAUGCAACGAGGUGGCCAGUGGAUCGCAGCCUGGAGGCACUGGCCCAGCCCCACGACCCCAGCAUGACCGGAACCUGGGGUCGGGAAGCCCCUCUGGAGCAGCCUGCCUUCCUGAAACAGCCCAGUCCGUGGGACAGUCCAUCCAGCCAGUCGACAGUUUGUCACACUUUCUGAGUUCUUAAAAACCUGUCUCUUUUAAACUCUUCGAAAGUUGACACAAUUUGUACUGGAAGGAUUGGCGGGGCCCCGGGGAGCUGGGCAGGCCCUAGAAGCCUCUGGGGCCUUCCACCGUCCCUGGAUGGCUGUUGCACCCGCCCGUCACUCUGCUCCAUCUCCUCUGACCCUCCCCACCACCCCCCCUUUUUUUUUCUGGCAGGUAGUCUCUCCCCUUUUCCUUCUGCCCUGCACUGUCCAUCCAUCUCUCUGACCUGUCUCUCCCCUUUCCCUGCUCCUUGCUCUUCCCCUCCUGCCUCUCUGGGCUCAGCCUCCAGGGGCUGCUGGGUACAGCUGUGUAGGCUGCUCACUGCACAAAAGUGCCUCGCCUGCUCUGCCUGCCAACAUCCAUUUGGACGGAUGCCCAUUUCCAUUUUGUAAAAAGGGGGCUGGGGGACGCCUUGGCAGCAGCCAAGCCUGUGCUUUGUAAGAAUUCUUUUCCGCCUCUCUUGCAGUAGAGGGGCCCCCUCUCUUGGCAAUGGC